rnacentral:rRNA from 1 species
UACGAGGGGGGCAAGCGUUGUUCGGAAUUAUUGGGCGUAAAGGGUGCGUAGGCGGUCUGACAAGUCUGAUGUGAAAUCUAUGGGCUCAACCCAUAGUCUGCAUCGGAAACUGUCGGGCUUGAGUAUGGGAGAGGUGAGUGGAAUUCCCGGUGUAGCGGUGAAAUGCGUAGAGAUCGGGAGGAACACCAGAGGCGAAGGCGGCUAGCUGGACAGUCACUGACAGCU